rnacentral:rRNA from 1 species
AAAAGUGAAAGACGGUCUUGCUGUCACUUAUAGAUGGAUCCGCGCUGCAUUAGCUAGUUGGUAAGGUAACGGCUUACCAAGGCAACGAUGCAUAGCCGACCUGAGAGGGUGAUCGGCCACACUGGAACUGAGACACGGUCCAGACUCCUACGGGAGGCAGCAGUAGGGAAUCUUCCGCAAUGGGCGAAAGCCUGACGGAGCAACGCCGCGUGAGUGAUGAAGGUCUUCGGAUCGUAAAACUCUGUUAUUAGGGAAGAACAUAUGUGUAAGUAACUGUGCACAUCUUGACGGUACCUAAUCAGAAAGCCACGGCUAACUACGUGCCAGCAGCCGCGGUAAUACGUAGGUGGCAAGCGUUAUCCGGAAUUAUUGGGCGUAAAGCGCGCGUAGGCGGUUUUUUAAGUCUGAUGUGAA